rnacentral:lncRNA from 1 species
UAGAAAUUUACAUGAAGAUGGAUUUCAAUUUUCUUAGGGAGAUAAUUGUCAUAACUGUAUUACAAGUGAAACGAAUGUCCUUCUUCAUUGAUGAUAUGAACAUUGAUAAUAAACACUGGAUUCAUUUAUAUUCUCAGGUACACAUUUUCGUUGAUAGAGGAGAACUUGCAAAAAUUUGAAAUUCGUUGCACAAUUAUUUUCUUGGUUUACCUGUACUCACAAAUACACUGAAAUUGGUAUUCAACGAAUAAUAAUGAAUCCAGAGUAAGCUGAAAAAAGUAAACAAUAUUGAAUAUAAAGCCAAUAAAUAGUUAUAUUCUUGUUAUUUUUCU